AUAAAACACAAAACUGUCAUUAAACAUUUUUUUCUCAUUGAGUGUAUAUCUACACACAGCUUGCACAAUCUUCAGGUCUCUUGUCUGCAGCCUUUGCAAGCCCUCAUCUUCUAAACCUGCCCAGACUUUUUUGUGACUAUCCAAUCACAGAUUUCCAUUUCCCAAUGCAGCUCAAUGAUAAGUCUUCAGCAAGCUAAAGUGAUUUAGGGGUCUGAGGUGUCUCUUUAAAUG